rnacentral:tRNA from 1 species
GCCUUCGUGGUGUAGUGGUCAGCACGCUCGACGCGUAUUCGAGAGGUCCGUGGUUCGAGUCCCGGUGAAGGCA